ensembl:misc_RNA Metazoa_SRP Metazoan signal recognition particle RNA
GCCGGGCAUGGUGGCGCAUGCCUGUAAUCCCAGCACUUUGGGAGGCUGAGGUGGGUGGAUCACCUGAGGUCAGGAGUUCGAGACCAGCCUGACCAACAUGGAGAAACCCCAUCUCUA